rnacentral:rRNA from 1 species
UACGUAGGGGGCAAGCGUUGGUCCGGAAUCAUUGGGCGUAAAGAGCGUGUAGGCGGCCCGGUAAGUCCGCUGUGAAAGUCCAGGGCUCAACCCUGGGAUGCCGGUGGAUACUGUCGGGCUCGAGUCCGGAAGAGGAGUGUGGAAUUCCUGGUGUAGCGGUGAAAUGCGCAGAUAUCAGGAAGAACACCAAUGGCGAAGGCAGCUCUCUGGGACGGUACUGACGCUGAGACGCGAAAGCGUGGGGAGCGAACAGG